UACGGAGGGUGCAAGCGUUAUCCGGAUUCACUGGGUUUAAAGGGUGCGUAGGUGGGUAUGUAAGUCAGUGGUGAAAUCCCCGAGCUUAACUUGGGAACUGCCGUUGAUACUAUAUAUCUUGAAUAUCGCGUAGGUAAGCGGAAUAUGUCAUGUAGCGGUGAAAUGCUUAGAUAUGACAUAGAACACCAAUUGCGAAGGCAGCUUACUUCACGAUUAUUGACACUGAGGCACAAAAGCGUGGGGAGCAAACAGG
rnacentral:rRNA from 1 species